UACGUAGGUGGCAAGCGUGGUCCGGAAUUAUUGGGCGUAAAGCGCGCGCAGGCGGUUCCUUAAGUCUGAUGGGAAAGCCCCCGGCUCAACCGGGGAGGGUCAUUGGAAACUGGGGAACUUGAGUACUGAAGAGGAAAGCGGAAUUCCACGUGUAGCGGUGAAAUGCGUAGAGAUGUGGAGGAACACCAGUGGCGAAGGCGGCUUUCUGGUCAGUAACUGACGCUGAGGCGCGAAAGCGUGGGGAGCAAACAGG
rnacentral:rRNA from 1 species